GCCUGCCCAGUGACUCUGUUCAACGGCCGCGGUAUCCUAACCGUGCGAAGGUAGCGUAAUCACUUGUUCUUUAAAUGAGGACUAGUAUGAAUGGCACCACGAGGGUUAUACUGUCUCCUUUUUCUAAUCAGUAAAACUAAUCUUCCCGUGCAGAAGCGGGAAUAAACCUAUAAGACGAGAAGACCCUAUGGAGCUUUAAACUAAGUCACAUUUGCUUUACUCUCUACCCCUCCCCAGAGAAGUCAUAAACAUCUUAACAAACUGAUGACUAGUUUUCGGUUGGGGUGACCGCGGAGCAGAAAAAAACCUCCACAUUGAAAGGAAUUUAAUCCUAAGCCAAGAGCCACAACUCUAAGCAUCAAUAAAACGACAUUAAUUGACCCAAUAUAUUGAUCAACGAACCAAGUUACCCUAGGGAUAACAGCGCAAUCCACUUCAAGAGCUCCUAUCGACAAGUGGGUUUACGACCUCGAUGUUGGAUCAGGGUAUCCCGGUGGUGCAGCCGCUACCAAAGGUUCGUUUGUUCAACGAUUAAAACCCUACGUGAUCU
rnacentral:rRNA from 1 species